UACGUAGGGUGCAGGCGUUAAUCGGAAUUACUGGGCGUAAAGCGUGCGCAGGCGGUUUGCUAAGUCAGGUGUGAAAUCCCCGGGCUUAACCUGGGAACUGCGCUUGUAACUGGCAAGCUAGAGUGUGGCAGAGGGGGGUGGAAUUCCACGUGUAGCAGUGAAAUGCGUAGAUAUGCGGAGGAACACCGAUGGCGAAGGCAAUCCCCUGGGCCUGCACUGACGCUCAUGCACGAAAGCGUGGGGAGCAAACAGG
rnacentral:rRNA from 1 species